rnacentral:rRNA from 1 species
GUUGAACGCUGGCGGCGUGCCUAAUACAUGCAAGUCGAGCGAACGGACGAGAAGCUUGCUUCUCUGAUGUUAGCGGCGGACGGGUGAGUAACACGUGGAUAACCUACCUAUAAGACUGGGAUAACUUCGGGAAACCGGAGCUAAUACCGGAUAAUAUUUUGAACCGCAUGGUUCAAAAGUGAAAGACGGUCUUGCUGUCACUUAUAGAUGGAUCCGCGCUGCAUUAGCUAGUUGGUAAGGUAACGGCUUACCAAGGCAACGAUGCAUAGCCGACCUGAGAGGGUGAUCGGCCACACUGGAACUGAGACACGGUCCAGACUCCUACGGGAGGCAGCAGUAGGGAAUCUUACGCAAUGGGCGAAAGCCUGACGGAGCAACGCCGCGUGAGUGAUGAAGGUCUUCGGAUCGUAAAACUCUGUUAUUAGGGAAGAACAUAUGUGUAAGUAACUGUGCACAUCUUGACGGUACCUAAUCAGAAAGCCACGGCUAACUACGUG